rnacentral:rRNA from 1 species
UACGAAGGGGGCGAGCGUUGUUCGGAUUUACUGGGCGUAAAGGGCGCGCAGGCGGCUCAUUUUGUCAGGCGUGAAAGCCCCGGGCUUAACCUGGGAACUGCGUUUGAUACGGAUGGGCUAGAGUUCGGGAGAGGAGAGUGGAAUUCCUGGUGUAGCGGUGAAAUGCGCAGAUAUCAGGAAGAACACCCGUGGCGAAGGCGGCUCUCUGGGACGGUACUGACGCUGAGGUGCGAAAGCGUGGGGAGCAAACAGG